rnacentral:snoRNA from 1 species
AACCCAUGAUGUGGACACUGAUUGGUGUAGCUUCUAAACCGCUCAAGCUUCUAAACCGCUCAAGCUUCCCCAAAGCUUUCAUUGUUGUGCUGGGUAAAGUUUGAUAUCUGGUUUCUCGGUU